rnacentral:rRNA from 1 species
AUGGACAACGAGGAACACCGCCGCCACAUCGCCACCUGCCUCGUCAAAGGCGUUUACGUCCACGAGAAGGAGAGAGCAGCGAUGAACAGGACGGAGAAGCUCGCGCCGGCGUGGUGGGAAAGCUUUGGCUUCCGCCUAGAGAAGGAACUCAGAGAGCAGAUAUCCUUCUCCAUCUCCGACACCAUCUCCGACACCAUCUUCAACACCAUCGCCGACAACAUCUACGGUGCCAUCUUCGGCACCAACUACGGUGCCAUCUCCGACACCAUCUACGGUGCCAUCUUCGAGAAGGUGCCGGCGAAAGACUUCUGGCUUGACGCCAAUAUAGUGGCCAACACAAUGAACGACCGCACGCGCUACAAGCUAGCUCGAGGAGCGGUCGAGGAACUUAUGGUUGGCCAAACCCCAGACCCGAAGCGCUGCCUUGACGUUUGGCUCGCCGGGCACUCUCUCGGCGGUUCGCUGGCGCUGGAAGUGGGGCGGGACAUGAUGGUGCAGGGGCUCAACCUGCCGACCUUCCUCUUCAAUCCGCCGCAGGUGUCGUUGACACCACUACUCAACUUGCUGAACGCGACGGAGGUGGCCAAGUGGGACCUGCACUUCACGAGUUUCGUCUUGAAGGUCGCUGUGGGACAUUUCUCCGAAUCCCGACGGGACCACAUGGAAGAGCUGUUCAGCAAGCUUGAACCGUGGGUGCCGAAUCUGUACGUGAACGAGAAUGACUGGAUCAGCCAGGGCUUCAUCGACUACUUGGAGUUGCGGCAGAAGUUCCAGGAGCGAUUCCCCAAUGCUGGCGCCGUGUGGAUGACAAUGUCGUACCGAGACUUGGUCCACCGCCUGCUGGUCGACGGUAAGGAGCAGCCGCACCUCCUGCCAUCGGCGACGCUGUGGAAAAGCAGGCUCCAUCCCCGUGAGCACAGUCUCGACCAGUUGUUGAAACCGGACAGUGAGCUCGGAUUGGGCGCCACGCCUUAUAGGUACACUCUACCUGAAGCGUAA